rnacentral:rRNA from 1 species
GUCUACAACCAUGCCACCCUGAACAAGCCCAAUGUCUGAUCUCAGAAGCUAAGCAGGGUCGGGCCUGGUUAGUACUUGGAUGGGAGACCACCUAGGAAGACCAGGUGCUGUAGGCA